rnacentral:lncRNA from 1 species
AUUUUUUCUUGAAGAUUUUCCGUCUGCAUUAAUCUUCUCUUCUUCUGCAUUUUCUCUUUUUUGUGAAAUCAUUUAUGGAACUUGGUUAUGGGUUCUUGAUUGUGAGGGUGAGCAAGGGAAUUAAAGAGGUUCCAAUUGCAACGCAAUUUUUUUAUGGUAUUUAGAAGUUUUGGUUAAAGGUCUUUGGAAUGAGGAGGUUUCAGUGAGCAGGGUUGAAGAGUUUGUUGAAGUGGUUGUUGAUUAUUUUUUUUUGGAAGCAUG